AUUGAACGCUGGCGGCAGGCCUAACACAUGCAAGUCGAGCGGAUGAAGGGAGCUUGCUCCUGGAUUCAGCGGCGGACGGGUGAGUAAUGCCUAGGAAUCUGCCUGGUAGUGGGGGAUAACGUCCGGAAACGGGCGCUAAUACCGCAUACGUCCUGAGGGAGAAAGUGGGGGAUCUUCGGACCUCACGCUAUCAGAUGAGCCUAGGUCGGAUUAGCUAGUUGGUGGGGUAAAGGCCUACCAAGGCGACGAUCCGUAACUGGUCUGAGAGGAUGAUCAGUCACCUUGGAACUGAGACCCGGUCCCGACUCCUACGGGAGGCAGCAGUGGGGAAUAUUGGACAAUGGGCGAAAGCCUGAUCCAGCCAUGCCGCGUGUGUGAAGAAGGUCUUCGGAUUGUAAAGCACUUUCAGUUGGGAGGAAGGGAAGUAAGUUAAUACCUUGCUGUUUUGACGUUACCAACAGAAUAAGCACCGGCUAACUCCGUG
rnacentral:rRNA from 1 species